UACGUAGGUGGCGAGCGUUGUCCGGAUUUACUGGGUGUAAAGGGCGCGUAGGCGGGCUUGCAAGUCAGAUGUGAAAUACCGGGGCUUAACUCCGGGGCUGCAUUUGAAACUGUGAGUCUUGAGUGUCGGAGAGGAAAGCGGAAUUCCUAGUGUAGCGGUGAAAUGCGUAGAUAUUAGGAGGAACACCAGUGGCGAAGGCGGCUUUCUGGACGAUAACUGACGCUGAGGCGCGAAAGUGUGGGGAGCAAAC
rnacentral:rRNA from 1 species